CGACAGGCUUAACACAUGCAAGUCGAGGGGCAGCAUAAAAGUAGCAAUACUUGGUGGCGACCGGCGCACGGGUGAGUAACGCGUAUGCAACCUACCUAUCAGAGGGGAAUAACCCGGCGAAAGUCGGACUAAUACCGCAUAAAACAGGGGCACCGCAUGGUGAUAUUUGUUAAAGAAAUUCGCUGAUAGAUGGGCAUGCGUUCCAUUAGGUAGUUGGUGAGGUAACGGCUCACCAAGCCGACGAUGGAUAGGGGAACUGAGAGGUUGGUCCCCCACACUGGUACUGAGACACGGACCAGACUCCUACGGGAGGCAACAGUGAGGAAUAUUGGUCAAUGGGCGGGAGCCUGAACCAGCCAAGUCGCGUGAAGGAAGAAGGAUCUAUGGUUCGUAAACUUCUUUUGCAGGGGAAUAAAGUGCAGGACGUGUCCUGUUUUGUAUGUACCCUGAGAAUAAGGAUCGGCUAACUCCGUGCCAGCCGCCGC
rnacentral:rRNA from 1 species